AUUGAACGCUGGCGGCAGGCCUAACACAUGCAAGUCGAGCGGCAGCGGGAGAGUAGCUUGCUACUUUUGCCGGCGAGCGGCGGACGGGUGAGUAAUGCCUGGGAAAUUGCCCAGUCGAGGGGGAUAACAGUUGGAAACGACUGCUAAUACCGCAUACGCCCUACGGGGGAAAGCAGGGGACCUUCGGGCCUUGCGCGAUUGGAUAUGCCCAGGUGGGAUUAGCUAGUUGGUGAGGUAAUGGCUCACCAAGGCGACGAUCCCUAGCUGGUCUGGGAGGAUGAUCAGCCACACUGGAACUGAGGCACGGUCCAGACUCCUACGGGAGGCAGCAGUGGGGAAUAUUGCACAAUGGGGGAAACCCUGAUGCAGCCAUGCCGCGUGUGUGAAGAAGGCCUUCGGGUUGUAAAGCACUUUCAGCGAGGAGGAAAGGUUGAUGCCUAAUACGUAUCAACUGUGACGUUACUCGCAGAAGAAGCACCGGCUAACUCCGUGCCAGCCGCCGCGGUAACAC
rnacentral:rRNA from 1 species